rnacentral:rRNA from 1 species
CUUAGAGGCAGCCACCCUUGAAAGAGUGCGUAACAGCUCACUGGUCAAGUGUUCGGGCGCGGAUAAUGUAACGGGGCUCAAGCUAGACACCGAAGCUGCGGGUGCGUGAGGACUUCGGUCCGAUCGCGCGGUAGGAGAGCGUUCCCAUGCCAGCGAAGCGGCGGCGGAAGCCAGCCGUGGAGGCAUGGGAAGUGAGAAUGCCGGCAUGAGUAACGAAAGAGGGGUGAGAAUCCCCUCCACCGAUUGCCCAAGGAUUCCUGAGUAAAGUUCGUCUGCUCAGGGUUAGUCGGGACCUAAGGCGAGGCCGAAAGGCGUAGUCGAUGGCCAACAGGUUGAUAUUCCUGUACCACGUCGAGUCCGUUUGACCGAUGGAGGGACGAGGACGGCUAAGGGAACCCAGGCGAUGGUCGCCCUGGGGUAAGCGUGUAGGGGUGGUCCUAGGCAAAUCCGGGACCGCAUAACCUGAGGCGCGAUGCCAGCUGGCUUUAGAGCCGGCGAGUCCCUGACGCCAUGCCUCCAAGAAAAGCUCCUAGGGAGGACUCGCGUGCCCGUACCAAAACCGACACAGGUGGACAAGUAGAGAAUACUAAGGUGAUCGAGAUAACCAUCGUUAAGGAACUCGGCAAAAUCGCCCCGUAACUUCGGGAGAAGGGGCGCCCCAGUAGGGUGAAGCUCUUCGCGAGUGGAGCCCGAGGGGGCCGCAGUGAAUUGGCUGAAGCGACUGUUUACCAAAAACACAGGUCUCUGCUAAGUCGAAAGACGACGUAUAGGGGCUGACGCCUGCCCGGUGCCGGAAGGUUACGUGGAGGUGUUAGGGCUUGACCCGAAGCACUGAAGCUAAGCCCCGGUAAACGGCGGCCGUAACUAUAACGGUCCUAAGGUAGCGAAAUUCCUUGUCGGGUAAGUUCCGACCUGCACGAAUGGCGUAACGACUUCAGCGCUGUCUCAACGAGGGGCUCGGUGAAAUUGCAGUCUCGGUGAAGAUGCCGAGUACCCGCGGCUAGACGGAAAGACCCCGUGAACCUUUACUACAACUUGGUAUUGGGAUUCGGUGCACUUCGCUCAGGAUAGGUGGGAGGCUUUGAAGCUCCGGCUGCGGCCGGGGUGGAGCCAACCUUGAGAUACCACCCUUGGUGUAUUGGAUUUCUAACACCGCGCCGUGAAUCCGGGCGGUGAACAGUGCCAGGCGGGUAGUUUGACUGGGGCGGUCGCCUCCCAAAAUGUAACGGAGGCGCACAAAGGUUCCCUCAGCACGGUUGGAAAUCGUGCGUAGAGUGUAAAGGCAGCAAGGGAGCUUGACUGCGAGACCGACAGGUCGAGCAGGUGCGAAAGCAGGUCUUAGUGAUCCGGCGGUAGCAAGUGGAAGUGCCGUCGCUCAACGGAUAAAAGGUACUCCGGGGAUAACAGGCUUAUCGGGCCCAAGAGUCCACAUCGACGGCCCGGUUUGGCACCUCGAUGUCGGCUCGUCGCAUCCUGGGGCUGGAGUAGGUCCCAAG